rnacentral:miRNA from 1 species
UGGGCUUGGGCAGUGAGGACUGG